rnacentral:rRNA from 1 species
GGUCAAGCGAAUAAGCGCACACGGUGGAUGCCUUGGCGGUCAGAGGCGAUGAAGGACGUGGCAGCCUGCGAAAAGUAUCGGGGAGCUGGCAACAAGCUUUGAUCCGGUAAUGUCCGAAUGGGGAAACCCACCCGCUUGCGGGUAUCCUGCAGUGAAUACAUAGCUGCUGGAAGCGAACCUGGUGAACUGAAAUAUCUAAGUAACCAGAGGAAAAGAAAUCAACCGAGAUUCCGUAAGUAGCGACGAGCGAACGCGGACUAGCCCUUAAGCUGAUUUGGUUCUAGGAAAACGCUCUGGAAAGAGCGGCCAUAGAAGGUGAUAGCCCUGUAUCUGAAAGGGCCAUUUCAGUGAAGACGAGUAGGGCGGGGCACGUGAAACCCUGUCUGAACAUGGGGGGACCAUCCUCCAAGGCUAAAUACUACUGACCGACCGAUAGUGAACCAGUACCGUGAGGGAAAGGCGAAAAGAACCCCGGAGAGGGGAGUGAAAUAGAACCUGAAACCGUGUGCGUACAAGCAGUAGGAGCUCCGCAAGGAGUGACUGCGUACCUUUUGUAUAAUGGGUCAGCGACUUACUGUUCGUGGCAAGCUUAACCGUAUAGGGGAGGCGAAGGGAAACCGAGUCUGAUAAGGGCGCAUAGUCGCGGGCAGUAGACCCGAAACCGGGUGAUCUAGUCAUGCCCAGGGUGAAGGUGCGGUAACACGCACUGGAGGCCCGAACCCACUCCCGUUGCAAAGGUAGGGGAUGAGGUGUGAUUAGGAGUGAAAAGCUAAUCGAACCCGGAGAUAGCUGGUUCUCCUCGAAAGCUAUUUAGGUAGCGCCUCAUAUGUAUCCUCUCGGGGGUAGAGCACUGUUAUGGCUAGGGGGUCAUCGCGACUUACCAAACCAUUGCAAACUCCGAAUACCGAGACGGACUGUAUGGGAGACACACGGCGGGUGCUAACGUCCGUCGUGAAAAGGGAAACAACCCAGACCCACAGCUAAGGUCCCAAAUUCACUGCUAAGUGGAAAACCAUGUGGAAAGGCACAGACAGCCAGGAGGUUGGCUUAGAAGCAGCCACCCUUUAAAGAAAGCGUAAUAGCUCACUGGUCGAGUCGGUCUGCGGGGAAGAUUUAACGGGGCUAAGCAGUGAACCGAAGCUUGGGGUGCAUACUUUGUAUGCGCGGUAGAGGAGCGUUCCGUAAGCCGUUGAAGGUGGAUUGAGAAGUCUGCUGGAGGUAUCGGAAGUGCGAAUGCUGACAUGAGUAACGAUAAUGCGGGUGAAAAACCCGCACGCCGAAAGCCCAAGGUUUCCUUGCGCAACGUUAAUCGGCGCAGGGUGAGUCGGCCCCUAAGGCGAGGACGAAAGUCGUAGUCGAUGGGAAGCAGGUUAAUAUUCCUGCACCUCGCGUAAGUGCGAUGGAGGGACGGAGAAGGUUAGGUGUACCAGGCGUUGGUUGUCCUGGGGAAAGGCGGUAGGUUUGGAUCUUUGGCAAAUCCGGGAUCCUCUAAGACCGAGCACCGAGACGAGCCUUUAUGGCGAAGUCACUGAUACCACGCUUCCAGGAAAAGCUCCUAAGCUUCAGCUUACGCAGACCGUACCGUAAACCGACACAGGUGGGUAGGAUGAGAAUUCUCAGGCGCUUGAGAGAACUCGGGUGAAGGAACUAGGCAACAUGGCACCGUAACUUCGGGAGAAGGUGCACCCUUUUUGGUGGCUCGUGCGAGCUAUAGCUGAAGAGGGUCGCAGUAACCAGGCCGCUGCGACUGUUUAUCAAAAACACAGCACUCUGCAAACACGAAAGUGGACGUAUAGGGUGUGACGCCUGCCCGGUGCUGGAAGGUUAAUUGAUGGGGUCAGCCGCAAGGCGAAGCUCUUGAUCGAAGCCCCAGUAAACGGCGGCCGUAACUAUAA